GCUACUGCCUCUAGAAGACUGUCUAUUGUGCCUUGAAUACACAGCAUUGACUUUGCAGGGUCAUCUUGCUGGAUAACAUAGCACCACCCAAACAGGAGAAUUGAGGCUGAGACUGGAUCAGGCCCAGUGGAACAUAGCGAAAUGAGAAUAAGCUUUCGUGUUAGAAUCCUGCCUAUGUGAUCUCCAGCAACUUAACAUCUCUGAGCCACUUCAUUUAUCUGGAGAAUGGGGCUAAAUCUUCCUGAGUUUUUGAGGCUUACAGCGAAUAAUGUACGGCACCUGACAUGCAGUAAACAAGAAAUCAAAGGCAACACCUGGGCCUCAGGACUGCGUGAUGGGUGCCCCGUGAAAUCUAAUUCCACUGUGAACUAUGCUGACAUCCAUCAAGGCCUUUACCUCCUACCUCUUGGUUUGAAAUGGGUCUCCAAGACUUCCACCAUCCACAACUGAUCCAGAAAUGGCUCUGGCAGUACCCAAGGGUUCCUUGAAGGCAGGUCUGGGUCUGGUUCUCCGGAUCCCAACACCACGAGGUACUUUAUUUUAAAAGGAUUAAAAAAGCCACUGCUUGUCAAAUCUUGAACUAAAGGACUAACACCAAUUCUCAUAACAUCCUUAAGCCGGCCAUGUGAAAUGGGUGCUGUAAUUACCAUCCUAAUCUUAAGGGCAUGGAAAAUAAAGCACAGAGGGUAAAUCCUAUG
ensembl:lncRNA novel transcript, antisense to a novel protein